CAGCCGCCGCGGUAAUACGAAGGGUGCAAGCGUUAAUCGGAAUUACUGGGCGUAAAGCGUGCGUGGGCGGUUUGUUAAGUCUGUUGUGAAAUCCCCGGGCUCAACCUGGGAAUGGCAAUGGAUACUGGCAAGCUAGAGUGUGUCAGAGGAUGGUGGAAUUCCCGGUGUAGCGGUGAAAUGCGUAGAGAUCGGGAGGAACAUCAGUGGCGAAGGCGGCCAUCUGGGACAACACUGACGCUGAGGCACGAAAGCGUGGGGAGCAAACAGGAUUAGAUACCCCGGUAGUCCCUGUCUCUUAUAC
rnacentral:rRNA from 1 species